rnacentral:rRNA from 1 species
AUUGAACGCUGGCGGCAGGCCUAACACAUGCAAGUCGAGCGAGCGGCGGACGGGUGAGUAAUGUCUGGGAAACUGCCUGAUGGAGGGGGAUAACUACUGGAAACGGUAGCUAAUACCGCAUACCAUCAGAUGUGCCAAGAUGGGAUUAGCUAGUAGGUGGGGUAACGGCUAACCUAGGCGACGAUCCCUAGCUGGUCUGCGAGGAUGAACAGCCCCACUGGAACUUAGACACGGUCCAGACUCCUACGGUCGGCAGCAGUGGGGAAUAUUGCACAAUGGGCGCAAUCCUGAUGCAGCCAUGCCGCGUGUGUGAAUAAGACCUUCGGGUUGUAAAGCACUUUCAGCGGGGAGGCGUUACCCGCAGAAGAAGCACCGGCUAACUCCGUGCCAGCAGCCGCGGUAAUUC